rnacentral:rRNA from 1 species
AGAGUUUGAUUCUGGCUCAGAACGAACGCUGGCGGCGUGGAUAAGACAUGCAAGUUGGACGAUCACUCUAAGGUAGCAAUAUUUUGGAGUGGGAGUAGCGUAAGGGUGCGUAACACGUGGGUAAUUUACCAUGAAGACUGGGAUAACUCCGAGAAAUCGGAGCUAAUACCGGAUGUGGUUGUCGGAGGGCAUCCUCGGACAAUUGAAGCUGGGGACUGUAAGGCCUAGCACUUCAUGAUAAGCCCGCGGCCUAUCAGCUAGUUGGUGAGGUAAGAGCUCACCAAGGCUAAGACGGGUAGCUGGUCUGAGAGGACGACCAGCCACACUGGAACUGAGAUACGGUCCAGACACCUACGGGUGGCAGCAGUCGAGAAUUUUUCUCAAUGGGCGAAAGCUUGAAGGAGCGACGCCGCGUGGGGGAUGAAGGGCUUCGGCUUGUAAACCCCUGUCAUCUGGGAGCAAACCUUCUCCGCUAAUACCGGAGAAGUUGAUAGUACCGGAAGAGGAAGGGACGGCUAACUCUGUGCCAGCAGCCGCGGUAAUACAGAGGUCCCAAGCGUUGUUCGGAUUCACUGGGCGUAAAGGGUGCGUAGGUGGCGAGGUAAGUUUGAUGUGAAAUCUCCGAGCUCAACUUGGAAAUGGCAUUGAAUACUACUUUGCUUGAGGAUCGGAGGGGAGACUGGAAUUCUCGGUGUAGCGGUGAAAUGCGUAGAUAUCGAGAGGAACACCAGUGGCGAAAGCGAGUCUCUGGACGACUCCUGACACUGAGGCACGAAAGCUAGGGGAGCAAACAGGAUUAGAUACCCUGGUAGUCCUAGCCGUAAACGGUGCACAUUUGCCGUGAGAGGAAUCGACCCCUUUCGUGGCGGAGCUAACGCGUUAAAUGUGCCGCCUGGGAAGUACGGCCGCAAGGUUAAAACUCAAAGAAAUUGACGGGGGCCUGCACAAGCGGUGGAGUAUGUGGCUUAAUUCGAUGCAACGCGAAGAACCUUACCUGGCCUUGACAUGUGAGUAGUAGAAGCCUGAAAGGGUAACGACCCUGCAAGGGGAGCUCAUACAGGUGCUGCAUGGCUGUCGUCAGCUCGUGUCGUGAGAUGUUGGGUUAAGUCCCGCAACGAGCGCAACCCCUGUGUCCUGUUGCCACCCGGACGAGAGUUCGGAGCACUCUGGACAGACUGCCUCGUCCUAACGAGGAGGGAGGUGGGGAUGACGUCAAGUCAGGAUGGCCCUUACGGCCAGGGCUGCACACGUACUACAAUGCCCGGUACAGAAGGAAGCAAGACCGCGAGGUGGAGCAAAUCCCUCAAAACCGGGCUCAGUUCAGAUUGAAGGCUGCAAUUCGCCUUCAUGAAGCUGGAAUCGCUAGUAAUGGCGCAUCAGCUACGGCGCCGUGAAUACGUUCCCAGGCCUUGUACACACCGCCCGUCACAUCAUGAAAGCCGUUUGUACCCAAGUCAGUGAGCUAACCGUAAGGAAGCAGCUGCCGAAGGUAUGAACGGUGAUUGGGAUGAAGUC